rnacentral:rRNA from 1 species
UACGUAGGAGGCGAGCGUUGUCCGGAGUUACUGGGCGUAAAGGGUGCGUAGGCGGUUGGGUAAGUCUGUCGUGAAAUCUCCGAGCCCAACUCGGAAACUGCGUCGGAUACUAUUCAACUCGAGGAAUGGAGGGGAGACUGGAAUUCUCGGUGUAGCAGUGAAAUGCGUAGAUAUGCGGAGGAACACCGAUGGCGAAGGCAAUCCCCUGGACCUGUACUGACGCUCAUGCACGAAAGCGUGGGGAGCAAACAGG